AAAAAGGCGAUUGUGCAGCAGAUGGAAACAAGUAAACGCCCGUCGAAGUAAAUAUGAAAGGUUUUUAGUCGAAAUCGAAGAAACCCCUUGGCAAGCAAAAAAAUGAAGAGACCAGCGCUAGGAAACAACAAAACACAAGGAAAGAAAAACAAAAACAAAAAUUUGAAAGUAGAAACGAAAUUAGUUGCAAUGGGGCAAGAGAAGAAGCAGCGAAUUGCUAGCAAGGAGAUGUGCUUAAACCAAGGGUGAAAGAGUGCUACGGCACGAUUACAGACUGAAAAUACGUCGAGGGAUACAAGAAAGUUGAAAUUUGAUGCCAAUAGAAGAAAAGGCAGAGGCUAUGAAAGGCAGAACGACUCGACAGACUAGACGAUUGGAAGUAAUAAGGCAAGCAGCGGUCUACGAGGCUUGAAGAGUGGAAAAUAGAUGAGAAGGAUUUUUUGUUUAAUUUAAUAAUAUUUGUGUGUCAAGAGGAAAGGAAGAAGAGCUUGAGACACGUAGAAAGAAAAAAAAAGGAGAAAAAACCGUCAACACUGACAAGGAAGAAAACAGGAGAGCUGAGAAUUCUAGUAGACAAAAGGACAAGCUCAACGAUAUGAAUUCAAG